rnacentral:lncRNA from 1 species
CCAAAAUGCGUGCAAGGUUUUAAAUAAAUUGCAGGGAAAAACAGGGUCUUGCCAGCUUCAAUUUUCUUUUGAAUGAAAUCCACCAUACAUAAAGAAAGGAAACAGGCCAUGGCUCCUUCCUGGUGUCGGCCUCCUCAUUAGGUUUUUGUUUCCCUCCUCCAAACUGGUAAAUUUAAUCCUGCAUUAUCUAUCACAAACUCAGGUAUUCUUCAAUGUUUGCUGUUUGAUACACCUUUGCCAUAACUAUUGUUUUUCCCAAAGACUCUCAUGCUUUCUCCGGUCUCUGCUUGUAAUCUUACAUUCGGUACAGUAAAA